GACGAACGCUGGCGGCGUGCUUAACACAUGCAAGUCGAACGGAAAGGCCCCCUUGUGGGGUACUCGAGUGUCGAACGGGUGGGUAACACGUGAGUAACCUACCCUUCACUUUGGGAUAACUUCAGGAAACGGGGGCUAAUACCGUAUCGGAGCUCCUGCUGCAUGGUGUGGUUUGGAAAGUUUCGGCGGUUGGGGCUGGACUCGCGGCUUAUCACCUUGUUGGUGGGGUAGUGGCUCACCAAGGCGUUGACGGGUAGCCGGCCUGAGAGGGUGAACGGCGACAUUGGGCCUGAGAUACGGCCCAGACUCCUACGGGAGGCAGCAGUGGGGAAUAUUGCACAAUGGGCGGAAGCCUGAUGCAGCAACGCCGCGUGCGGGAUGACGGCCUUCGGGUUGUAAACCGCUUUCGAAUGUGACGAAGCGUGAGUGACGGUAAUGGGUAAAGAAGCACCGGCUAACUACGUG
rnacentral:rRNA from 1 species